rnacentral:rRNA from 1 species
CAGUCGCCGCGGUAAUACGGAGGGUGCGAGCGUUAAUCGGAAUAACUGGGCGUAAAGGGCACGCAGGCGGUGACUUAAGUGAGGUGUGAAAGCCCCGGGCUUAACCUGGGAAUUGCAUUUCAUACUGGGUCGCUAGAGUACUUUAGGGAGGGGUAGAAUUCCACGUGUAGCGGUGAAAUGCGUAGAGAUGUGGAGGAAUACCGAAGGCGAAGGCAGCCCCUUGGGAAUGUACUGACGCUCAUGUGCGAAAGCGUGGGGAGCAAACAGGAUUAGAUACCCCCGUAGUCCCUGUCUCUUAUAC